GACGAACGCUGGCGGCGUGCUUAACACAUGCAAGUCGAACGGAAAGGCCCCUUUGGGGGUACUUGAGUGGCGAACGGGUGCGUAACACGUGAGUAACCUGCCCUUGACUUCGGGAUAACUUCAGGAAACUGGGGCUAAUACCGGAUAGGAAUCCUUGCUGCAUGGUGGGGGUUGGAAAGCUUCGGCGGUUUUGGAUGGACUCGCGGCUUAUCAGCUUGUUGGUGGGGUAGUGGCUUACCAAGGCUUUGACGGGUAGCCGGCCUGAGAGGGCGACCGGCCACAUUGGGACUGAGAUACGGCCCAGACUCCUACGGGAGGCAGCAGUGGGGAAUAUUGCACAAUGGGCGGAAGCCUGAUGCAGCAACGCCGCGUGCGGGAUGACGGCCUUCGGGUUGUAAACCGCUUUCAGCAGGGGCGAAGCUUGUGGUGACGGUACCUGCAGAAGAAGCACCGGCUAACUACGUG
rnacentral:rRNA from 1 species